CGUAAUUCUGAUUUGGCGGUUGGGCUCGUUCAUUAUAGCUUGGUUUAACGCGUGUUGACGAGGAGGAUUUGUAGUGGAAAGGAGAAAUUGUGUGCGUCAGUGGACGUUCGUCAUUCCAGAGGGAGACGAGCGUUUGGAAGAGGCGCUGAAUGAAGAGAACCUGGUUGAUGUCGAAGUGAAGACCGAGCAGUGAGGCGCUCGGCCAGUUGUGUAGCCUGUAUUAGAGUGGUCAUUCGACCAUCUUGUCUUGUUAUUUUAUUCUGAUAGACCGUUCGGUAUUUGUGCCGUGUAAACCGUUCGGUCAAGUUUCGUGUACGUUCGGCUUUUUCAUUUGUAACUCUGAAGACGUGCGGCUUUGCGCGUCUGUUUUGUUAUUAUUGUAAGACUGUACUCAAGGACGUUCGUCCUUGAGCGUUGUUUUGUUUUUAGUUGGAAAACUGUAUUGAAAUAUUAUUAAAUGUGAUUUUCUGAUUUUCUGUUUU